AGGAAGCACCGCGUUCCUCCGGCUCUAAGUCAGACUCAUCCGAAGGUUCGUUCUCCGGCUCCGACUCACUCAAUACAGCCUUCUUCGGCUUUUUCCCGUUUUUGGCCAGGCCCAUUUUAUAGUCUUCAGACGUGGCCAGAUUUUUAUAAUCGGCGUCAUCCGAGGAAGCACCACGUUCCUCCGGCUCUAAGUCAGACUCAUCCGAAGGUUCGUUCUCCGGCUCCGACUCAUCGGAAGAAGCGUCCUGUUCCUCCGGCUCUAUGUCGGACUCAUCCGAAGGUUCCUGCUCCGGCUCAGAGUCACUCGAAGGUUCCUCCUCCGGC